GCUUUAUAUAUUUAUAGAUUAUGAGUGUAGAGGAAUAGUUUAUAGUAUAGAUUUAUAUUUUGUUGGGGUGACAGGGAAAUAAAAGAACUUUCUUUUUUAUAAAACAUUGAUGAAUGAAUAUAAGAUCCAUUUAUAAUGAUUAAAAGAUUAAGU
rnacentral:rRNA from 1 species